rnacentral:lncRNA from 1 species
AAUCAGUGCCCUCUGGAUACUAUAUAUAAGGCAUCCAUCCAUAGGUGGACAAAUAAAUGGAAGAAAAGAAAAAAAUGUCUUAUCAUCCCAGGCUGAGGCUUCAGGAAUGGAAGUGAAAUGAACUACUGGGAACGCAGAAAUUACAUUGAGACUGAUUCAAAAGUGGAGUGGAUUUCUGUGGGUAAGCGUGAAGAAUGGAACAAAAGUGGAAAAGCUGGAAAAGGCUGAG